rnacentral:tRNA from 1 species
UGGCUCAGUUGGUAAGAGCGUGGCGUUAGCAAUGCCAAGGUUGUGGGUUCAAUUCCCAC